rnacentral:snRNA from 1 species
CAGAAAUCUCGUGUGGAACA